UUGCCUAUGAAGAUAUUUGAUUUGAAAAUACCAUCUUUCGGGACUGAUUGGCAUUUGUAGCCAUGAUGUUAUUCUGCAAUUCUGAGGCAU